rnacentral:rRNA from 1 species
GACGAACGCUGGCGGCGUGCCUAACACAUGCAAGUCGAGCGGAGAUAGACUGAUGGUAACUGAAGUUUGUCUUAGCGGCGGACGGGUGAGUAACACGUGGGCAACCUGCCUUGAAGUGGGGGAUAACACCGGGAAAUCGGUGCUAAUACCGCAUAACAUACACAAACUGCAUGGUGAGUGUAUCAAAGGAGCAAUCCGCUUUAAGAUGGGCCCGCGGCUGAUUAGCUAGUUGGUAAGGUAACGGCUUACCAAGGCGACGAUCAGUAGCCGACCUGAGAGGGUGACCGGCCACACUGGAACUGAGACACGGUCCAGACUCCUACGGGAGGCAGCAGUGGGGAAUAUUGCGCAAUGGGGGGAACCCUGACGCAGCAACGCCGCGUGGAGGAAGAAGGUCUUCGGAUUGUAAACUCCUGUCUUCUGGGACGAAUAAUGACGGUACCAGAGGAGGAAGCCACGGCUAACUACGUG